CUUCCUGGAAGCAGAAGAUGGACGUGAAACACGUGUCAGUUCUAGGAAGUACGGAAGAGGGACCACACCACACACACACACACACACACACACACACCACACCCACACCCACAGAACACACACGACCACACACACACACAGAACACACACACCACACCACACAAACCACACACACAACACACAACACACACCACACACACGCAACACACAUACGCAACACAACACACACACCACACCACACACACACCACACACACACACACACACACACCACACACACACACCACACACACCACAACACAACAAAUCACACACAACCACACCACACAAACCACACACACAACCACACCACCACACACGCAACACACACACAUGCCAACACAACACACACACCACCGACACACACACCCACACACACCACAGAAACACACACAACAUACCACACACACAACAUACCACAACAAUAACACACCACACACACACCACACCACACACACACACCACACACACAACACAACACACAGACGCAACACAACACACCACACAGACACACACAACACACACCACACAUACCACACACACCACACACACACACCACACCACAACACCACGCACACAGAGAACACACACACACACCACACACACCACACACACACACCACACAACACAUCAACCACACACCACACACACACAGAACACACACAAGCACCACACACACAAUAUACACACACACACAUACCACACACACCACACACACACACAGACACACACAGACACAGACACACACACACACACAUAUACCACACACAAAACACCACACACACACACAGAACACACACCACACACACACACAGAACACACACACCACACACACCACACAACCACACACACAACCACACCACACACACGCAACACAACACACCAACACAACACACACACACACCCACACCCACAGAACACACACAACAUACCACACACACAACAUACCACACACAUAACACACCACACACACACCACACCACACACACACCACACACACAACACAACACACAGACGCAACACAACACACCACACACCACACAGACACACACAACACACACACACAUACCACACACACCACACACACACAACACCCCACACAUACGCAACACAACACACACACCACGCACACAGAGAACACACACACACACCACACACACCACACACACCAUACCACACAACACACACAUACCACACACCACACACACAAUACACACACACACCACAUAUGCCACACACACCACACCCACACACACAGAACACACCACCACACACACACACACACACACACACACACACACACACACACACACACACACACAACACAACACACACACACCCCUGUGCAUCUUACGUUACAGCAAAGUGUACUGAGGAGUACAGAACAAAGCACGUUCUGCCAGAGAACAAAUCAC
rnacentral:lncRNA from 1 species